rnacentral:rRNA from 1 species
AUGAGUGAUUUCCGGCCGAUCAGCCUCAUCCACUCUGUCGCCAAGCUGUUUUCUAAAGUCCUGUCCAUUCGGCUCGCCAACGUCAUCGACAAGCUCAUUAGCCCAGCGCAAACAGCAUUUCAGAGGAGGAAGUGCAUCCAAGACAGUUUUCUUUAUGUGCAGAACACGGUCAGAAAAUUGCAUCGCAGCAAAACCCCGGCACUUUUGCUGAAGCUCGACAUAGCCAAGGCUUUCGAUUGCGUUUCUUCGGAAUAUUUGUUAGAAUUAUUAGAGGUGCUCGGUUUUCCCCCGCGAUGGAGGGAUUGGAUUGCUCUACUGAUAUCGACGUCGUCCUCGUCCUGCCUCCUAAACGGGGUGCCAGGGGACUGCAUUGAUCAUCUUCGAGGGCUUAGGCAGGGAGAUCGACUAUCGCCACUGUUGUUUAUCUUAUGCAUCGAUACCCUCCACCAGCUGCUAGAGGUGGCCACUUCGUCUGGCCUGCUGGCGGCGCCGCCGGCGGCAGCAGCUAAGAUGCGCACAAGCUUGUACGCCGACGAUGUUUUCAUCUUCGUUAAUCCGGUGCGUGAAGAGAUAGACACCCUGCUAGGCCUGCUACGACAAUUCGGUGACACCACGGGCCUGUGGGUCAAUCUCUCCAAGUCGUCCGUGAUCCCAAUCCGCUGCAGCGACAUCGACCUGGCCGCGGUUCUGGUGAACUUUGGAGGGACAACUGCGGCGUUCCCAAUCACAUACCUAGGCCUGCCCAUCACGAUCGGAAGAAUUAGGCUAGUUCACCUGUAG